UCUUUUGUUCACCAAAAGC
rnacentral:snRNA from 1 species